ACUGAAGAUUAACAUGAGUGAUUUGUAGGCUGCUUUUUAGUAACAGCAGUAACUUAGCUAAGUUAUGACUGUGUUCCUUACAGUAAUGUAGGCAGUUGUGCUUUACAAUUAUGCAUGCAGAGAUAGAUUGUGGGGGAAAGCUAUUUUUCCAUAUGGAUUUAACUUACAGGCCUUCAGUCUGUUGGAAAAAAGAGUUUUAUUGUGUUAGUGAGGGAAAACUUGCAGGUCAGUGGGCAUUAACCUUUAAGGUUGGUAAACACUUGUACACUGAAGCAUACAAUACUGUACAAUUACUGACAUAGGCAUGUGCUAUUCAGGUGUCAAAGCUGUGCGAAACUGGAGGGAGAAACUUGAGAGACCGUGCCGGAAGAAUGCUGGACAGAGUUCACUAAAAUUCAUUAAUUUCAAAGUUCAACAUGAAUGGUGGUGGUCCACUGCAGAAGCAAGCAUUUGAAAAAAACAUCAGUUCUCAGUUAUUAAAGAUGCUGUGUUGAACAACUUCCCAGCAGCAACAGAACUGGAAGUGAAGGAUGCAAUGGGGGCAUUUCAAACAGUCACCAGGGAGCACGGGGGGGGGGGGUAUAGAAAUUAGUACA